UAAAAUUCAAGGACAAGAUUAUUUUAGGAUAUGAGACAAGGACUUUUAAUGUUUGAUUUUUAUAAGUGCACGAUUUGUUAAUUAAUUGCAGUUAGUGUAAAAAUAUUGGUGGAGAUUAGGGAUUAAUUAAGCUAUUAGUGGGCUGAGUGGGCCCCACUGCCACAUGGCCAAAUCUGAUUGACCCAUGCUUUAGUGGGGGACGUGUAGGACCUCUUGGGCAGCACAAAGCCAACAUUGUUGACCACAUUUUCAAUCACAAUUCAUUUCUCCACUUCACAAAGAAUUAAGAGAGAGCACCACACGUUGCUAAUAAUCUUGGCAGCACAUAUAGCCUCUUUUGUUGACUAAUCCAUCACCCACAAUUUAUUUCCCAACUCCAUCAAAAUAGAGUUAGUGGGAGAAGCUCUCAAACUUAAAGAGAGAGAGAGAGAGUCACGGCUGCACUGUUCACGCGCCACUGUUCACACCGCCACUAUUCACGGCGGCGCACUGUUCACGAUGCUACUAUUCACGGCGGCGCACUGUUCACGGCCGUCACUGUUCACGGCAAGGCUUGUUUUAAAAAAAAAAAAAAUUUGAUUAAAUCUCCAAGGUGAUUUAAAUGUCCCAAAGGAAGCGGCAAGUUAGGAUUUAAAUUGAAGAAAGAAGAGGCGGUGCAAUUGGUGCAAGCAAGUGUAGAAUUUGCUCCGAUUAAAUUAAGACCUUGGGGAGCCCGAGGCGUAGAUUGGGAUUUACUUUAGAUUGGCUAUCUUGGAGUGCGUACGAGGUACAGACGCACAGUUUGGUGAUCCACCAGUUUAGGACACUCUUCUGCUGUUUGGAGUGCUCUUCUCAUUUCAGAGCAUAUAUUUUGGUAUAUAUACUUAUUUGAUGCAUAUGUAUAUAUUUGUUCAGGGGUACGGCGGGGCCCUGUUCCGCCAUAUGAUCUGUUUGGUCUGUUUAGAGGUCUGUAGACGUAUUUGUGGGUGUGUGUGCCUACUUCUAUUCAGAUGUGUUUGCAUGAUCCUAUUCGUUAUGGCAGCCUUGUCGGCGUGCAUUCGUAUAUGUGUUUUGGGCCGUUGUGUCAUUUGAUAGCCUUGUCGGCUUUUGAUACAUUUGACAGCCUCGCCGGCUUUUUGAUAUAUGCAUACGUAUAUGGUUGCGCUGAAAUGCGUCUCAGUCAGUUUGAUAUGAUUUGUGGCAGCGUGUGAUAUUUGUGCCCGUGUACGCUAUCUGUAUGUGAUUCUGACUGAAUAAGUGUGUUAGGGUGAUUCGAUUUGGAUAAGUGUGUUACGAUUUGAUAUGUUUGUCCGUUUGGGUGCCCAAGUAGGGCACCAGUCGCGGCCCACGGGGCUGGGUCGUGACAGAAGUGGUAUCAGAGCAGUUUGUCCUUGGGAUGUCUACAGACCGUGUCUAGUAGAGUCUUGUUUA